AUGCUCUUGAGGCUGGAGGUCAUCAAUUCUAUUUAUAAUGCUGAAUGCAUAAUAUUGCCUGACAAUCUUGCUGUUCAGAGAUGGACACAGAUCAUUACAAUGGCAAACAAAGCAUUGAUUUAUAAUCCAUUUAAAAUUUAAAUAUCAGCAAAAGGCAUACUGGAACAACAUAUGAGCCAGACCACCACUAGGAACAUUUGUGUAUCAGGUUAUCAGGGUAUUUUUCCUCUAUGGUAAUGGCAGUACCCUUGAACACAUUCAUUCAUCUCCCAUUUCCUUAUGGGAUUAGUAAAUUCUUUGUUCAGACAUUUAUAUAAAGUCUAGUAGAUUUAUAUCAGACGACUAGAAAUAAAUCUAACAUACAGCACUAUUCA
rnacentral:lncRNA from 1 species